rnacentral:snoRNA from 1 species
ACCUUCCAGUUUCUUUUCCCAUCCUAUUUAAACACUGCUCGGAUGCAGUGGAUACAGGAAGAAAAAGGAACUUAGGGACUGACUUCAAUGCUUUUGUAGCAAGCACAUGGCUAGUGUUACACAAGU